AUGAUCAUGCAUGCUAACUAUUGCUCUUCUGCUUCAUUACUUGCUGUUUGUGUGCUCAAUUGCUUGCUGCUUGUGUGCUCCAUUGCUUGCUGCUUCAACUAUUGCUCUUGUGCACUGCUAGGACAAGUGAUAUGCGGUGUUCAUCGGGAGGGCUCCAGGGGUUUACAGUUCAUGGGAGCUUGCAAUGAACAAGUAUCAGGUACAAGCACAACAACCACAGAGGGUUUAAGACUAGGCAGACAACAGAAGAUGCUUACUCCAAAUUUGUGCGAAAGCAGGCAUGCAAAGUUGACGAUGGCAAGGUAG
rnacentral:rRNA from 1 species